rnacentral:lncRNA from 1 species
AUGGACACGCGAUCAGAUUCGCUACCGCAGAGCUCUAGCUCCGGAGCGCGCCAAGUUGAAGGCCAAAGUCGAGGUUGGGAUGCCCGAUGCCUGGCGCGGGGAGACGGAGGAAGCAAAGUGCUGGUAACUAAAGCAGCGCCUGCUGCUCGCCUUUUUUCUACUGAAGAAGGGUUGUCUCACUCCCGUUAGCUUAAUAUCCUUGCCCAAAAUGUAAAGUCUCCAGUGUACUUGUGAAUCCGGUUUUGUUCAUUGAUAAAUGUGUGAGUUAGAAGACUCACACAUUUAUCCUUAGGAAAGUUAUUUGAGUAACCUUUUUAAUCCUCAGUUUUCUCACCUGUGAAAUGGAGAAAUGGCACUUUCUCAUAAGGUUUAUGGUUAAAGUGCUGUAACCGCCCAAUAGGUUCACCUUGCUCACUGCCUAAACAGAGUCGAUUUAUCAAGACAGGGGAAUUGCAAUAGAGAAAGAGUAAUUCACACAAAGCUGGCUGUGAGGGAGACCGGAGUUUUAUUAUUACUCAAAUCAGUCUCCCUAGCUUUCAGGGAUCAGAGUUUUUAAGGAUAAUUUGGUGGGUAGGGGUCAGUGAGUCGGGAGUGCUGAUUGGUAGGCUAGGAGAUGAACUCACAGGGAGUCAAAGCUGUCCUCUUGUGCUGAGUCAGUUGCCAGGUGGGGGUCAUAAGACCAGAUGAGCCAGUUUAUUCAUCUGGGUGGUGCCAGCUGAUCCAUCGAGUGCAGUGUCUGUGAAAUAUCUUAAGCACUGAUCUUAGGUUUUACAAUAGUUGAUGUUAUCCCCAGGAGCAAUUUGAGGUUUAGAAUCUUGCAGCCUCUAGCUGCAUGACUCCUAAACCAUAAUUUCUAAUUUUGUGGCUAAUUUGUUAGUCCUGAAAAGGCAGUCUAGUUCCUGGGCAAGAAGGGGGUUUGUUUGGGAAAGGGCUGGUAUUGUCUUUGUUUCAAAGCUACACUAUAAACUAAGUUCCCCCCAAAGUUAGUUUGGCCUAUGCCUAGGAAUGAACAAAGACAGCUUGGAGAUGAGAAGCAAGAUGGAGUCGGUUAGGUCAGAUCCCUUUCACCAUCUCAGUUAUAAUUUUGCAAUGGUGGUUUCAGUGCCUGGUACCUAGUCAGUAGGAACAGGUGGCACGUGACAUCCGGGGAAUCAUAGGGUUUAGAACAGAAUGAGCUAAUAGGCACAUUCAUUCAUGCCCCAAAUACAUGCACACAGCCCUAAAGAAAUUUCAGUCUGUUUUUCUAAACAAAAUCUCAGAGUAUUAUGUGCAGGGUUACCAAUGGAAAAAAAGCAGGUUUAGGGGAAACUUGAGCUUAAGUUCACGGUCAGAAACACCCGGAACUUCUUGGCAAAUGAGUGCUUUAUGGAAACCUGUUUGGCAGGGAACAAGGAGCCCCUAGAGAUGGAAUUCGCCAGAGGGGAGAGGGAUCCAGGCAUGGCCAGCUAGCUCUAGUGUUGAUUCCAAGUACAGCCUGUUGACUCUCUUGUGGCCUAGGCCCCAUAGGAUGCAUGCCUGUGUCCUGUAGAGAACAGAAGAGCUGUUUGGCUGAAGUCUCUAUGAUGCAUUGGUACACAUACCAUCCUGCUUGGGUACCCCUCUAAUGCAGUAUAACACAAAGGGGCCACGGAUGUUCUGCUCCUCUUGGCAGCUGAAUGGGUACAGCAUCAGCAGAGUGAGUCUUUUGGCUCAUCAACUGCAGCAGGAGACCUGGGGAUCCCAGCAGGACAUGGUCACAGUGGCUGUCCCAAGGGAAUGAGGUGCCUCAGGAGAAGUAGCAGACAGUGUAGGUGCCUGGCAGGAGCAAGGACGUUGAUGAGCACAGGCUAGGCACACCAUAGGGAUCCUCAGAAAGAUAUAGGGUACUUCACAGUGACCUUCCAGCCUGUGGGAAUUGAUGGAGACAAGAACCAGUGAUGUUUUGGUUAUCACCAUUAGUAUCACCCCAUUUUCCUCUUAGGCCUGUGAGGCCUUGAAUACAUGAAGGCUAUAUGCCUAUGGUCCCCAACCUCAGGGUGUUUCUUAUCACAUUGAGGCCAAUAGUUCCAAAUCACUUACUUCCUAUCCUACUACUCUUUUCACUAAACUCCUUUCCUAGGUUCCAGAGGUAUCUGCCCACAACUGACUGUACCACCUAACCAUUCACUCACACAUUUGUUCAGCUAGUGUGAGUGGCCUGUAGUGUGCUAGAUGCAGCGGAAGGCCCCUGGGGUGCACUUGACAAAUAGUCAUCACAUGCUAAGUGGUUAAGAGCUGGGGCUCUGGAGCCAUUUUGCUGGGUUCAAAUCUCACAUCUCCACCUAUUAGCAUUCAUUAAAAUGUCUUGAAGCACCUACUAUGCACCUUCUAUUGUGCUAUGUACUGGGGAUCAUAUUCCUCCUUUUUUAUUACUAACACUACUGAAACCUUCCUUACAAACUUUAUAAAAUUAAUCAGGGAAGCAGGGAAGGGGAGAAAUAAAAUAAGCCCAGCUUGCAGCACAUUCAGCAUGAACCAUGAGGUCAGCUUGUUCUCUGGCCUGCUUCUUCAUAAUUAUUUAGUGUCUGUUAUCUCAGAAUCACGUAGACCCAGUUACAAUAUUAUAGUUCCCCUUAACUGCUCUAUAGUUAACAACUUGAACAUAAAACAUUGUGUUUUCCACUUGGAGUAUUCUUUCAGGUCCUGCAUACCAGUGAAAUUACUAAUGUCAGCUGUUCUGAAGGACCCAUUGACACCAGCUGGUCUGAGGGCCCCACUAUGACCCUGUCCUGCUGCCCCCCCAGGUCUCCUACUGUAGCUGACCAGAAGUUGACUCACCAAAGAAUGCAGUUCCCAAAUCCUGAUACUUUCAUCCCCCUUAUCCCACCAAUGGACAACCCCAGUUAUCUAGCCCCUCACCUCCAUGAUCUCCUUAAAAACCCCAGCCCAGCACUCCACUGGGAGAUAGAUUUGAGGGACUCCUCCUCACUGCAGCUCUCCUCCCCCUCACUUGGUGCCCUGUGAUCUGAUUCUUUCUGUGCUGCACAUCCUUGUAUCUCAAUGUAACUAGUCUCUUAUACACAGUAGGCAUACAGUCUGUUGGUUCUAUGCAUCUGCUACUGCUACUGCUAGAUGUGUGACCUUAAGCAAGUUACUUAAUCCCUGUGGGCCUUAGUUUCAUCAUCUGUAAAACUGGGUUGUUAAAUGAUUCUCUAUCCCAUAGGGUUUCUGUGAGAGGUACAUGAGUUAAUACAGGCCAUGUGCUUAGAACAAUGCCUGGAGCAUUAUCAAUACCUAGUAAGUAUUAUUAACUAUUACUACUACUAUGAUUCGUAUGUGUUAGACCAGGUCCUCUAAACCUUGAUUGUGUGUAGAAAUUGCCUGGUGAUCUUGUUUAAACAGGAUAGGGGCUGAGAUCUGCAGUGACAUCCCUUUAUGGACUGUGGCCACACUGAGUAGAAAAGUGCAGACACUUCAUUAAAUGCUGGGAUGCAGCAGAGCACCAGUGGUACCUAGUCACCAGACUCAAGGAGCUUAUCACCCAAGGGGAAUAAGGGUCAAUAAACAAAAUCAUCAUGUAAAUUCUCAUUGUGAUAAGUGCCAUAAGAAGUAAAGGGUGAAAAGCAAAGGUAGCACAGGGUGCCAUGGAAGUCUAGUCUCAAACACUGGAAGUCUUCCCUGAUGAUGUGGUGUUUAAGAAGAGACUUGGGGGGUGAGUGGGCAUUGGACAGUUAAAGAGGGAGGUGGAGAAAGAGCGAAUGGCAUGGGCAGUCAGGAAGGAGCCUGGUAUGGAGGAGGAACCAGCAGAACACCAAGUUUGUCUGCUGCAUGGAGAACAAAAGGUAAGCAGUGCA